GGGGGUUUAGCUCAGCGGCAUAAGCGCCUGCCUUGAAAGCAGGAAGUCGUGAUUUCGAUCCCCG
rnacentral:tRNA from 1 species